rnacentral:rRNA from 1 species
UAAUACGUAGGGCGCAAGCGUUAUCCGGAUUUAUUGGGCGUAAAGAGCUCGUAGGCGGUUUGUCGCGUCUGCCGUGAAAGUCCGAGGCUCAACCUCGGAUCUGCGGUGGGUACGGGCAGACUAGAGUGAUGUAGGGGAGACUGGAAUUCCUGGUGUAGCGGUGAAAUGCGCAGAUAUCAGGAGGAACACCGAUGGCGAAGGCAGGUCUCUGGGCAUUUACUGACGCUGAGGAGCGAAAGCAUGGGGAGCGAACAGGAUUAGAUACCCUGGUAGUCCAUGCCGUAAACGUUGGGCACUAGGUGUGGGGGACAUUCCACGUUUUCCGCGCCGUAGCUAACGCAUUAAGUGCCCCGCCUGGGGAGUACGGCCGCAAGGCUAAAACUCAAAGGAAUUGACGGGGGCCCGCACAAGCGGCGGAGCAUGCGGAUUAAUUCGAUGC